rnacentral:tRNA from 1 species
GGGCCGCUAGCUCAACUGGUAGAGCAGCUGACUCUUAAUCAGCCGGUUGGAGGUUCGAGUCCUCCGCGGCUCACCA